rnacentral:rRNA from 1 species
UUCUAACCGUAAACGAUGACAACCAGCGAUUAAUCGGCGUUAAUAUAUGACCCGAUUAGCAGCUUCCGGGAAACCAAAGUUUUUCGUUUCCGGGGGAAGUAUGGUUGCAAAGCUGAAACUUAAAGGAAUUGACGGAAGGGCACCACCAGGAGUGGAGCCUGCGGCUUAAUUUGACUCAACACGGGAAAACUCACCCGGCCCGGACACCGUAAGGAUUGACAGACUGAGAGCUCUUUCUUAAUUCGGUGGGUGGUGGUGCAUGGCCGUUCUUAGUUGGUGGAGCGAUUUGUCUGGUUAAUUCCGAUAACGAACGAGACUCUGGCCUAUUAAAUAGACGAUAUAUUUAAAAGUAUAUCGCGCUUCUUAGAGGGACAAGCGGCGUCUAGCCGCAUGAAAUAGAGCAAUAACAGGUCUGUGAUGCCCUUAGAUGUCCGGGGCUGCACGCGCGCUACACUGAAAGAAUCAGUGUGCGUUACGCCUAGUUCGGAAGAACCGGGUAACCCAAGUAAAUUCUUUCGUGCUUGGGAUAGGGAAUUGCAAUUAUUUCCCUUAAACGAGGAAUUCCCAG